GACAGAGGAUGCAAGCGUUAUCCGGAAUGAUUGGGCGUAAAGAGCUCGUAGGCGGUUUGUCGCGUCUGCUGUGAAAACCUAAGGCUCAACCUUGGGCUUGCAGUGGGUACGGGCAGACUAGAGUGCGGUAGGGGUGACUGGAAUUCCUGGUGUAGCGGUGGAAUGCGCAGAUAUCAGGAGGAACACCGAUGGCGAAGGCAGGUCACUGGGCCGCAACUGACGCUGGAGGAGCGGAAAAGCAUGGGGAGCGAACAGG
rnacentral:rRNA from 1 species